rnacentral:rRNA from 1 species
AGCAGUAGCCACGGUAGUACGUAGGGUGCGAGCGUUAAUCGGAAUUACUGGGCGUAAAGCGUGCGCAGGCGGUUCGUUAAGACAGGUGUGAAAUCCCCGGGCUUAACCUGGGAACUGCAUUUGUGACUGGCGAGCUAGAGUAUGGCAGAGGGGGGUAGAAUUCCACGUGUAGCAGUGAAAUGCGUAGAGAUGCGGAGGAAUACCGAUGGCGAAGGCAGCCCCCUGGGCCAAUACUGACGCUCAUGCACGAAAGCGUGGGGAGCAAACAGGAUUAGAUACCCGCGUAGUCCCUGUCUCUUAUAA